UGAGUAACACGUAUCCAACCUGCCGUCUACUCUUGGACAGCCUUCUGAAAGGAAGAUUAAUACAAGAUUGCAUCAUGAGUCCGCAUGUUCACAUGAUUAAAGGUAUUCCGGUAGACGAUGGGGAUGCGUUCCAUUAGAUAGUAGGCGGGGUAACGGCCCACCUAGUCUUCGAUGGAUAGGGGUUCUGAGAGGAAGGUCCCCCACAUUGGAACUGAGACACGGUCCAA
rnacentral:rRNA from 1 species